CCCCGUGCGGCCUGAAAGUGUAAGCUGCGCACAUUAUGUGAGGACUAUUUUAAUUUCGUAAGAAUUGUUCUUUCAAUAAUUUCACUAGUACUAGAUUCAUUCAAUUUGUGGGAGGAGGGAUUCUAUAAAGUAUAAAGAAUUCUAAAUCUAGCACGGGCAACGUUCUAGUCUUAACAUCCAUGAUCUUGCUGUAGUAUUUCCAUUGAACUAAUUUCGGUGAAUCCAUGUUCUUGUAAAGCGAUACAACAACGAUAUGAUUCCUCAAUACAAGCAGAAAAUGAAUCAAAAAAGUCCUCCUAAUUAAACAUACAAGAAGUUUUUAAAUUUCUAUAAUCACAAACAUUCACUUAAAUUUACUCUUUAAUUUCUGUGUUUUAGCUGCUAAUGGCACGACCAACUGAGGUGGCUGUGAGUCCAAAAAUACUGCAACUGCUUUGCCCUCUAGAUCAUCGGCAAAA